rnacentral:pre_miRNA from 1 species
UUAUUACUCCCUCCGUUUGGAAUUACUUGUCUCGGAAAUGGAUGUAUCUAGAACUAAAAUACGUCUAGAUACAUCCAUUUCUGCGACAAGUAAUUCCGAACGGAGGGAGUACUUC